rnacentral:snRNA from 1 species
AUCUCUUUGCCAUUUGGCUUAGAUCAAGUGUAGUAUCUGUUCUUUUCAGUGUAACAGCUGAAACGUCAUCACUGAUGACAUAUAAUAUUAUUGCUAUUUUUGGACUUUUCGUCUCGGGGCUCGAUGGGCUUGCUCACACUCCGGGGCACAGUGUCGUUACCACUACACCUUCGGUUUCUGACGCAAUACUUU